GAUCAUGGCUCAGGAUGAACGCUAGCUACAGGCUUAACACAUGCAAGUCGAGGGCAGCAUAAUCGAAGCUUGCUUUGAUUGAUGGCGACCGGCGCACGGGUGAGUAACGCGUAUCCAACCUUCCCCUUAGUAGGGCAUAGCCCGGCGAAAGUCGGAUUAAUACCCUAUGUUAUCCGUCGAGGGCAUCUGAAGUGGAUUAAAGAUUUAUCGCUAAGGGAUGGGGAUGCGUCUGAUUAGGUUGUUGGCGGGGUAACGGCCCACCAAGCCUACGAUCAGUAGGGGUUCUGAGAGGAAGGUCCCCCACAUUGGUACUGAGACACGGACCAAACUCCUACGGGAGGCAGCAGUGAGGAAUAUUGGUCAAUGGGCGAGAGCCUGAACCAGCCAAGUAGCGUGCAGGAUGACGGCCCUAUGGGUUGUAAACUGCUUUUGCAUGGGAAUAAAGUCGGGGACGUGUCCCCGUUUGUAUGUACCAUGAGAAUAAGGACCGGCUAAUUCCGUGCCAGCCGCAGC
rnacentral:rRNA from 1 species